UACGUAGGGGGCAAGCGUUGUCCGGAUUUAUUGGGCGUAAAAGGCUUGUAGGUGGCCACGCCAAGUCGGAUGUGAAAUCCCCAGGCUUAACCUGGGAACUGCAUCCGAUACUGGAUGGCUUGAAUCCGGGAGAGGGAUGCGGAAUUCCAGGUGUAGCGGUGAAAAUGCGUAGAUAUCUGGAGGAACACCGGUGGCGAAGGCGGCAUCCUGGACCGGCAUUGACGCUGAGGAGCGAAAGCCAGGGGAGCAAACGGG
rnacentral:rRNA from 1 species